rnacentral:misc_RNA from 1 species
GAUGAAGAACGUAGCGAAAUGCGAUAGCUAGUGUGAAUUGCAGAUUUCCGUGAAUCAUCGAAUCUUUGAACGCACAUUGCGCCCGCUGGUAUUCCGGCGGGCAUGCCUGUUCGAGCGUCAUUUCAACCCUCAAGCCCCCCGGGUUUGGUGUUGGGGAUCGGCUCUGCCUCACGGCGGUGCCGCCCCCGAAAUACAUUGGCGGUCUCGCUGCAGCCUCCAUUGCGUAGUAGCUAACACCUCGCAACUGGAACGCGGCGCGGCCAUGCCGUAAAACCCCAACUUCUGAAUGUUGACCUCGGAUCAGGUAGGAAUACCCGCUGAACUUAAGCAUAUCAAAAGCGGAGGA